CUGCACAGCUUCACAGAAGAUUAUCUGGAUCUGGAGAAGAGGUGGGUGUCUCUGGGAAAGAAGCAGAGAGGUGAGUGGCACAGAGGCUGUGGUGAGUGAAUCUGAGGGUUUGUAUCAUCUCUUAGGCCUGAACACCAAUGCCUUCACCUCAACACGUGAAGGGCGUGCUCACCGAGCAGCGGAGGAGAAAGGGCAAAGGGGAGGGUGAAGUCCAAGUUAUUGCACAAAAGGCUGUGACCACUCCCAGGCUGAUCAUCCCUGGGGCUGGGAGGAAAGUUAUUUGCAGAGGAGAACAAGAUCAGGACUCUUCCUAACAAAGGCUGAGUAAGAAACUGGGUUUCUGACCUCUCUACCCCAGCAAGCUCAGAGUCCCCUGCCUUUCCUCUGUUCUGGCUCUGUGUGUUUGCAUUACUCACUCUGUGGUUAGAAGUUCAGGCCCACAGACAGAAGGGAUUAGCCUUAUCUCAGAUGAGAUUUUGGACUUGGACUUUUGAAUUAAUCCUUCAAUGACCAUAGUUUAAGAAGAGAUAUCUUGAAAACACGGAAAGAGAAAAGUCAAUACAAUAUUUCCUAAUUUUUUAAGAGGUCAGAGAAGGGAGUUACUGUGUGGCCUGGAGCAGGUGAUUCUGACUACCAAGGGAAAAUUGGAGUACUACUCCACAAUGGAGGGUCUGCAGGAUGGACCCGGCAGCUGGUGCCCUGUGUGAGGAACGCUGCAACGGACUGCGACAGAACCCUCGAAAACGAAGGUGAAGAGACUGUGCAGUCAUGUGACAGACACAUCAAACCAUACCAUGGCGUGGCUAAGACCCAAGCUGGUAUCAAAAAUAAAGGAAACGACGCUGCAGGACCCGCAGCCCCAGACGAUGUGGCUUCCUCCGAUGACACAGGCCCCAGACAUUACCUGGGGGAAGCUGAAGAAGACAACUCAGGAGGCCGAGUGAAUCCUUCUCUGGACACAGACACCAUCACUCCAGAUAAUCUGUUCCUUGCUAUGCUCUCUAUUGUACCUUGCAACUCUCAUAGGGUAUUCACCUUUCUUAUUCUCUCACUUUGCCUGCAACUCAUACCUGCUACAUUCUAUUGGGCCCAUCUUCUAAGAUCUGCCUUUCUUCCAACCUGUUACCUUGGCAGACACCCCCUUCCCAUCCUCUAAUAAUGUAACUGCUUAGCUGGGAGGGGUUGACAUGCCCCCAGUGGGGUUCCUUAAUAAUGGCACACAUUGAACUGAGGUGCCAAGUAACACUACAUAUCUCUCCUUGAUUGGAAAAGAAUAAUAGUGACUAUACUAAUGUUUGACUUAUGUUAUUUACUAAUUCUAGGAUGCAAAGCCGGAACACGAGCUGUAACCGCUGCGCCUGUCAAAUCUGUCACUGCACACAUCUGUACUAUUCAAUCAACAAAACCCGAUGCUAAAAACAGAAAAGGGGGAGACGCGGGAGAUCGGUCAGAGUGGUAGGAGAAGGUAUAGGGAAAGGAACAGACCUUCUGAAAGGCGGGAAGGCUCUGGAUAGCUUCAGGGAUGAAUAAGCUGAAGGCAGCUGUUCUCUUACCCUGAGGCAGAGGGCAAGGGGUAGGUAAGGAAGUAUAGGGGAAUUUGGCAUAAACAGGCUUGUUUACUUACAUUGUCCGGAAACCGACUUUGAUCAUCAGGGCAGGAGACUGCUCCCUGAAAGGGGGAAUAAUAAUGUUAAUUACCCACAGAUUGUGUUGGCUCCAGGCUUUCAUUAUUUUGUCUGUACUGAAUAAAAGCAAGCAGCUCCAGCUGUUCGAGACUGCUCACUCUUCAGCCAUUAGUGCUGGGCAUUCCUGUAGCUGCUCUUACACUGCAUGCCUGUGGCUGAGUACUCCUUUCAUCCGUUGCUUGGCCAGGGUCUGUGGGAUGGACCCCGCAGGUAAGGGUUAUCAAAAAAAAAAAAAAUUCACAGGCAGAUAGGAACACCAUGACCAUACUAAAAGGCUUUUUUCCCAUUUUAGUCUUGCAAGUUUGUAAAGAAGGAUAUGAAGCCCCUAAGAAAUCAGUGAAACACUUU
rnacentral:lncRNA from 10 species